rnacentral:rRNA from 1 species
UUCUUAGUUGCCAACAGGUUAAGCUGGGGACUCUAAAAAGACUGCCCGCGCAAGCGGAGAGGAAGGAGGGGAUGACGUCAGGUCAUCAUGGCCCUUACGUCCAGGGCUACACACGCGCUACAAUGGCGUAUACAAAGUGUAGCCAGCUAGCGAUAGCGAGCCAAUCACAAAAAGUACGUCUCAGUUCGGAUUGCAGGCUGCAACUCGCCUGCAUGAAGUUGGAAUCGCUAGUAAUCGCGCAUCAGCAAUGGCGCGGUGAAUACGUUCCCGGACCUUGUACACACCGCCCGUCAAGCGAUGGAAGUUGGGAGGACCUGAAGGCAGUUGUUGCAAGACGCUGUUUAGGGUUAAACCGAUGACUGGCGCUAAGUCGUAACAAGGUAGCCGUACCGGAAGGUGCGGCUGGAACACCUCCUUUCUGGAAAGUCGAUCCGUCGACACAGAAAACCUUAACUCCGAUCUUAAAGUGGUCCGCUAUCAAUUACAUUUAUUCGAGAUUUUGAAAAGGAAGGACUAAAUCCGGGCUUGUAGCUCAGGUGGUUAGAGCGCUACACUGAUAAUGUAGAGGUCCGUGGUUCGAGUCCAUUUAGGCCCACCAAUUUAGGCCCACCAA